AAUCCGUGAUGAGGACACUUGACCAAUAACUCCUUGAAAUGCUCCCAUGUCUCGUAGAAUGACUCUCCCUCCUUUUGACGGAACUCCUGAAUCAUCCUCCGCAAAC
rfam:Helianthus annuus linkage group 12, whole genome shotgun sequence.